AUUGAACGCUGGCGGCAUGCUUUACACAUGCAAGUCGAACGGCAGCGCGGGCUUCGGCCUGGCGGCGAGUGGCGAACGGGUGAGUAAUGCAUCGGAACGUGCCCAGUAGUGGGGGAUAGCCCGGCGAAAGCCGGAUUAAUACCGCAUACGACCUGAGGGUGAAAGCGGGGGACCGAGAGGCCUCGCGCUAUUGGAGCGGCCGAUGUCGGAUUAGCUAGUUGGUGGGGUAAAGGCUUACCAAGGCGACGAUCCGUAGCUGGUCUGAGAGGACGACCAGCCACACUGGGACUGAGACACGGCCCAGACUCCUACGGGAGGCAGCAGUGGGGAAUUUUGGACAAUGGGGGCAACCCUGAUCCAGCCAUGCCGCGUGCGGGAAGAAGGCCUUCGGGUUGUAAACCGCUUUUGUUCGGGAAGAAAUCCUCUGGGCUAAUACCCCGGGGGGAUGACGGUACCGGAAGAAUAAGCACCGGCUAACUACGUG
rnacentral:rRNA from 1 species